GACGAACGCUGGCGGCGUGCUUAACACAUGCAAGUCGAACGGAAAGGCCCUGCUUUUGUGGGGUGCUCGAGUGGCGAACGGGUGAGUAACACGUGAGUAACCUGCCCUUGACUUUGGGAUAACUUCAGGAAACUGGGGCUAAUACCGGAUAGGAGCUCCUGCUGCAUGGUGGGGGUUGGAAAGUUUCGGCGGUUGGGGAUGGACUCGCGGCUUAUCAGCUUGUUGGUGGGGUAGUGGCUUACCAAGGCUUUGACGGGUAGCCGGCCUGAGAGGGUGACCGGCCACAUUGGGACUGAGAUACGGCCCAGACUCCUACGGGAGGCAGCAGUGGGGAAUAUUGCACAAUGGGCGGAAGCCUGAUGCAGCAACGCCGCGUGCGGGAUGACGGCCUUCGGGUUGUAAACCGCUUUCGCCUGUGACGAAGCGUGAGUGACGGUAAUGGGUAAAGAAGCACCGGCUAACUACGUGCCAGCAGCCGCGGUGAUACGUAGGGUGCGAGCGUUGUCCGGAUUUAUUGGGCGUAAAGGGCUCGUAGGUGGUUGAUCGCGUCGGAAGUGUAAUCUUGGGGCUUAACCCUGAGCGUGCUUUCGAUACGGGUUGACUUGAGGAAGGUAGGGGAGAAUGGAAUUCCUGGUGGAGCGGUGGAAUGCGCAGAUAUCAGGAGGAACACCAGUGGCGAAGGCGGUUCUCUGGGCCUUUCCUGACGCUGAGGAGCGAAAGCGUGGGGAGCGAACAGGCUUAGAUACCCUGGUAGUCCACGCUGUAAACGGUGGGUACUAGGCGUGGGGUCCAUUCCACGGGUUCCGUGCCGUAGCUAACGCUUUAAGUACCCCGCCUGGGGAGUACGGCCGCAAGGCUAAAACUCAAAGGAAUUGACGGGGCCCCGCACAAGCGGCGGAGCAUGCGGAUUAAUUCGAUGCAACGCGUAGAACCUUACCUGGGUUUGACAUGGAUCGGGAGUGCUCAGAGAUGGGUGUGCCUCUUUUGGGGUCGGUUCACAGGUGGUGCAUGCCUGUCGUCAGCUCGUGUCGUGAGAUGUUGGGUUAAGUCCCGCAACGAGCGCAACCCUUGUUCACUGUUGCCAGCACGUUAUGGUGGGGACUCAGUGGAGACCGCCGGGGUCAACUCGGAGGAAGGUGGGGAUGACGUCAAGUCAUCAUGCCCCUUAUGUCCAGGGCUUCACGCAUGCUACAAUGGCUGGUACAGAGAGUGGCGAGCCUGUGAGGGUGAGCGAAUCUCGGAAAGCCGGUCUCAGUUCGGAUUGGGGUCCGCAACUCGACCUCAUGAAGUCGGAGUCGCUAGUAAUCGCAAAUCAGCAACGCUGCGGUGAAUUACGUUCCCGGG
rnacentral:rRNA from 1 species